rnacentral:lncRNA from 1 species
GUGAAAAGAUUCAUACUGCAAGCCGCCUAAAUGCAGGGCUUUUAAUGAUAUUCCCCGCCAACAAGGAUCAAUCAAGGCCUGCCUUGAUGUUGCUCUGUGUCCUACCAGCAAUUCUUCCUGGAAUCAUCUGUUCACAUGGAUGUCUAAAUGUUUAAGCACCCAUGCAUGAGGGUGGGGCUUGCCUCCAUCUGGCCCUCCUGCCACCUUCAACAACACACCCCACAUCCGAUCCUGCUUAGAGUCAAAGAUGAAUCUGGCAUACUACAAAGAGCACUGGACUGGAAGCGCGAAGUUUCUCUUAUCUGUGCCUUGGUUUCCUCAUGUGGAAAAUGAAAAUGUUGACAUAAAUAAUCCCACA